AACCCCAGAAAAAUAAAUUAUGUUUAUUUCUAAUUGCUAUUCAAUCCUCUGCCCCCAAAAGUGUACCUGUAGGAAUAAGUGCAAUUUCUUUAUGGUAGCAUGAGAGAACCUUAUAUUCUUGUAUCUGCCCAAUUUGCCAACUAACACUAGUUUAAUCUGUAGUCUCUCUAUAGGUGUACACACAAUACCUUCCUUAACACACACACACACACACACACACACACUGUGCAUCUUGCAUUGUUUUUGCUUCAAAAAAUAUCUCAGAGAUAAUUAUGUAUUAGUACAUAUACUUAUGAAUAACCUUUUAAAUGACUUCAUGUUUUACAUUUUAUAAUUAUCCAAUAAUUUAUAUUACCAAACAUUUAUUACAGUCUGAUUUUUCCCAGACAAUACCAUAAAGGAGAGAAGCCUCUCUGUUUGCCUUGCUGUAAUCUGAUGAACCGAUUGACAUGAUAAAAACCUCCAGGUUUACCGAUGAAGAUGCCAAAUCAUAUGAAAGUCUAAAUCUCAAUAUUAAAGGUCAGGUGAACUUUUUGAAGUCUCCUAAGAAAAGGAAAGGUAGGUAUAGGAUAAAUCUAUGUAUUAAGAUACAAAUAAUUUUUAAAAAUAUGAGCAAUUUUUCAAAUUCUAACAUGCUAUUGCUUUGUGACAGUUUUUUACUUCUGCGCUUAGUUUUGCAAUCCUUAAAAUGGAGUGAACAUUAUCGUUUUUAUAAAGUUGCUUUGCAGGUUGAAUAAAGCAAUGCUUUGUAAACUGCUUAGAGUGACUGGCAA